GUCUAUAACCAUACCACCCUGAACAUGUCCAAUCUUGUCUGAUCUCAGAAGCUAAGCACGGUUGGGUCUGGUGAGUACUUGGAUGGGAGAAACCUGGUACCUGUUGGCA
rnacentral:rRNA from 1 species